rnacentral:rRNA from 1 species
AACGCGAAGAACCUUACCAGGUCUUGACAUCCGAUGCAUAGUGCAGAGAUGCGUGAAGUCCUUCGGGACAUCGAGACAGGUGGUGCAUGGUUGUCGUCAGCUCGUGUCGUGAGAUGUUGGGUUAAGUCCCGCAACGAGCGCAACCCUUAUUGCCAGUUACUACGCAAGAGGACUCUGGCGAGACUGCCGUUGACAAAACGGAGGAAGGUGGGGAUGACGUCAAAUCAUCAUGCCCUUUAUGACCUGGGCUACACACGUACUACAAUGGCGUUUAACAAAGAGAAGCAAUACCGCGAGGUGGAGCAAAACUCAAAAACAACGUCUCAGUUCAGAUUGCAGGCUGCAACUCGCCUGCAUGAAGUCGGAAUUGCUAGUAAUCGCGGAUCAGCAUGCCGCGGUGAAUACGUUCCCGGGUCUUGUACACACCG